rnacentral:rRNA from 1 species
ACAGAGGGUGCGAGCGUUGUCCGGAAUCACUGGGCGUAAAGGGCGCGUAGGUGGCGGCCCCAGUCUGUGGUGAAAGCUCGCCGCUUAACGGCGAGUCGGCCACGGAUACUGGGUCGCUCGAGCACUGUAGGGGCAGAUGGAAUUCCGGGUGUAGCGGUGGAAUGCGUAGAGAUCCGGAAGAACAUCGGUGGCGAAGGCGGCCUGCUGGGCUGUUGCUGACGCUGAGGCGCGACAGCGUGGGGAGCAAACAGGA